rnacentral:rRNA from 1 species
UAGUUAAAUCUUAAAACCCAAAGGAUUUGGCGGUAUUUUAUCUGUUUAGAGGAACCUGUUCCGUAAUUAAUAAUACAUGAUGAACUUUACUUUAUCUUAGGGUUUGUAUAUCGCCGUUAUCAGAAUAUUUUUCGAGAAAAUUAAAAUUCAUUAAAUUAUUGAAAAUUUUAGUUCAGGUCAAGGUGCAGCUCAUGAUAAAGUGGAAAUGGGUUACAUUUAAAAAAAUUAAUAUGAAUAAAAAUAUGAAAUAAUAAUUUUGAAGGUGGAUUUAAAAGUAAAAAAUUAAAUAAUAAAAUAUUUGAUAUAAGUUCUAAAAUAUGU